CACAGCCGCGGGAAUACGAAGGGGGCUAGCGUUGUUCGGAUUUACUGGGCGUAAAGGGCGCGUAGGCGGACUGAUAAGUCAGGGGUGAAAUCCCAAGGCUCAACCUUGGAACUGCCUUUGAUACUGUUUGUCUUGAGUUCGAGAGAGGUAAGUGGAACUGCGAGUGUAGAGGUGAAAUUCGUAGAUAUUCGCAAGAACACCAGUGGCGAAGGCGGCUUACUGGCUCGAAACUGACGCUGAGGCGCGAAAGCGUGGGGAGCAAACAGGAUUAGAUACCCCUGUAGUCCCUGUCUCUUAUACA
rnacentral:rRNA from 1 species